GAUGAAGAACGCAGUGAAAUGCGAAAAGUAAUGUGAAUUGCAGAAUUCAGUGAAUCAUCGAAUCUUUGAACGCACAUUGCGCCCGCUGGUACUCCGGCGGGCACGCCUGUCCGAGCGUCAUUUCAACCCUCAAGCCCUCCUUCGUGAUGGGCCUGGUGUUGGGGCUCGGCCGCCAUCUCCGGCGGCCGUCCCCUAAAUACAGUGGCGGUCACGUCGCGACUCCUUUGCGUAGUAGAAACACCUCGCUCCGGAUAGCAACGCGGUCCACGCCGUAAAACCCCCAAUUUUCAAUGGUUGACCUCGGAUCAGGUGGGAAUACCCGCUGAACUUAAGCAUAUCAAUAAGCGGAGGA
rnacentral:misc_RNA from 1 species